GUGGGCCACUGCAGGUGCCUCUCCGACGGCGAUGUGUGCUUGGGACAGGCCCAGCCUCUCUGCAAAGCUGCUCGCCUCCGAGAUGUUAUGGAGUGUGUAUAUCUGGUUGUUCCUCCGCACUGUGAGUUUGAAGGGAUGUCCCCAUGAGUAGCGGAUCCGUCUGGGUGAGUGGGCGCAAUUCUCUCUGCUCUCGCAGGGUACUGGGGACCAG